rnacentral:lncRNA from 1 species
GCAUCGUCAAGGAAACUACAACUGAGGAUUUGCAUAGUGAAGGUAUUACUUCUACUGAUCAGAACUCCUUUGCAGUUCUUUCUGAUAUUCAGAUUGUUUCUUUAGCAUCUCAAAUGGGGAUCAACUCUGAAUCCCUUAAUUUCGAGAAAAUUGAUGUGCUUAAGGACCUAGAGAAUGCUAGAAUGAAACUUAUUGAACAAAAUAGUAGUUUGCUAGAACAGGAAAAUAUUAUAGUGGAUGAAAAUUUUCCCCUAGAAGAUCAGGUGGUUUUGGAGUGGGGAUCAGAGGAAUCUGAUAAGGAAUCCUGUGUAAUUCCUGUUAGCUCAAGAAAAAGCAAGUCGGCUAAGAAAAAAAAGAGAAAAACCAGAGCAG